UCCCUCUCAGGGUCACACCUGGAGAGUUUUCAGUAGUCUACCUGGCUCAGGUACGGGAGGGAGGGUCAAGCAGAGGCCUACCCAUUCCAUUCCUAGCUUGAGCAGUGGCUAGAGAAUGGAAGGCAAUCUGCUACAAGU
rnacentral:snoRNA from 1 species